rnacentral:lncRNA from 1 species
AAAACCUUACAACAGAAUUUUGUUUUCAAAUCAAAACAUGCAUACAUCCAUUUUUUUCUGUAAUUUCCAUAAGGAAAUCAAAUAGAAUUCAUAUCCAUAGUUUAACAGAGAAAGAAUUAUGAAAACCUAGACUGAUAAAGGGGAAUUUGGGGGAGGAGUUGGUGCAGAGGCGGUGGCAGGGAGACGUAGGGGUGGUGUACGGCGAGAGAUGAAGCAGGGGCAGCGGCACCGUGGUUUCUGCCGCUGCUGUGUAUUUCCGGUCGGGGCGGAGGGAGAGGCGCCUGGGCAGCGCCGCUGUCGACGCGGGGGCGGCGAUGGUGGUGCUGCU